CCACAAGCUGCUCCGUAACAAUAGCGCUAUUGAUCAAAUUCAUGCAACCCCGCUACGAAUGGGAGGGGAAGGUGGGGCGAGUGGCAACCAGCAAGAAAUUUGGACGAGAGGGUUAAGAGGAAUAAAUUCAUCGGUGGAUGAUUGAUUCCAUUUGGGUUCUUGUUCAUAACAACAGUUUCUGCAUUUUUAGAGAACAAAGUGAAAGAGAGGGCAAUAUAGUUCGGGAUAGGAGAGCAUGUCGCAUGGACACUCCGUGACACAACACCUCCAGCUCUUCGACGGUCACAAAUAUUGCACUCUCGACCUUGGCAAAAGCCUGGUUACAUGGCACUGACAACCUGGUGGAGAUAGGCAAAUAAUGUUAUGAGAAUCCAGCCAUCUGCUUGAGUAUUCCUCAGCGGAAAGCAUGGAUUUGGCUCCUUUAUUCAGUUGCAUUGACGCUAACCAGAGGCAUAGAGCGGGUAUAGGUGAAACUGCGUUAUCAACCGUCCUUUGAACUCGGGACCUUGCUGUCGAAUUGAGACAGAUGACAUGCUUGGAUUCAUAUUAGCUUCUUUACAAAGCCCUGGUAGCUUGUAGCUUGUGGCUUAAGAGGAGAGGGAGUCCACAAAUGAAAGCGCAAAGAAAUUUUCUCCACAAAGUCCAGCAUUUCGGUGCAUUGUUGUUUAGCAUGCACCGAAUAAAUAGGUCAAUAUACGGGCU
rnacentral:sRNA from 2 species